rnacentral:rRNA from 1 species
UACGUAGGGGGCUAGCGUUGUCCGGAUUUAUUGGGCGUAAAGAGCGUGUAGGCGGCCAGGUAGGUCUGCUGUGAAAACUCGAGGCUCAACCUCGAGAUGUCGGCGGAAACCAUCUGGCUAGAGUCCGGAAGAGGAGAGUGGAAUUCCUGGUGUAGCGGUGAAAUGCGCAGAUAUCAGGAGGAACACCAGUGGCGAAGGCGGCACUCUGGGCCAGUAUUGACGCUGAGGAGCGAAAGCGUGGGGAGCGAACAGG